UGCAGGAAGACUGCCCUAUGGGUUGUAAACUGCUUUUAUACAGGAAGAAAAGGGUGUACGUGUACACUGAUGACGGUACUGUAAGAAUAAGGAUCGGCUAACUCCGUGCCAGCAGCCGCGGUAAUACGGAGGAUCCAAGCGUUAUCCGGAAUCAUUGGGUUUAAAGGGUCCGUAGGCGGGACAAUAAGUCAGUGGUGAAAGUUUGCGGCUCAACCGUAAAAUUGCCAUUGAUACUGUUGUUCUUGAGUGCUUGUGAAGUGGUUAGAAUGAGUAGUGUAGCGGUGAAAUGCAUAGAUAUUACUCAGAAUACCGAUUGCGAAGGCAGAUCACUAACAAUUCACUGACGCUGAUGGACGAAAGCGUAGGUAGCGAACAGGAUUAGAUACCCUGGUAGUCUACGCCGUAAACGAUGGUUACUAGCUGUUCGGACUAAUUGAGGUCUGAGUGGCUAAGCGAAAGUGAUAAGUAACCCACCUGGGGAGUACGUUCGCAAGAAUGAA
rnacentral:rRNA from 1 species